rnacentral:rRNA from 1 species
GAUGAACGCUGGCGGCGUGCCUAAUACAUGCAAGUCGAGCGAACGGACGAGAAGCUUGCUUUUCUGAUGUUAGCGGCGGACGGGUGAGUAACACGUGGAUAACCUACCUAUAAGACUGGGAUAACUUCGGGAAACCGGAGCUAAUACCGGAUAAUAUUUUGAACCGCAUGGUUCAAAAGUGAAAGACGGUCUUGCUGUCACUUAUAGAUGGAUCCGCGCUGCAUUAGCUAGUUGGUAAGGUAACGGCUUACCAGGGCAACGAUGCAUAGCCGACCUGAGAGGGGGGUCGGCCACACGGGAACUGAGACACGGUCCAGACUCCUAGGGGAGGCAGAAGAAGGGAAUCUUCCGCAAGGGGAGAAGGCCUGACGGAGCAACGCGGCGGGAGUGAUGAAGGUUUUCGGAUCGUAAAACUGUUUUAUUGGGGAAGAAAAUAUGUGAAAGAAUCUGUGCACUGCUGGACGGUACCAAAUCAGAAAGCCACGGCUAACUACGUG